CGGGGGCAACCCUGGUGGCGAGUGGCGAACGGGUGAGUAAUACAUCGGAACGUGCCCAGUCGUGGGGGAUAACUACGCGAAAGCGUAGCUAAUACCGCAUACGAUCUACGGAUGAAAGCGGGGGAUCGCAAGACCUCGCGCGAUUGGAGCGGCCGAUGGCAGAUUAGGUAGUUGGUGGGGUAAAGGCUCACCAAGCCGACGAUCUGUAGCUGGUCUGAGAGGAUGAUCAGCCACACUGGGACUGAGACACGGCCCAGACUCCUACGGGAGGCAGCAGUGGGGAAUUUUGGACAAUGGGGGAAACCCUGAUCCAGCCAUGCCGCGUGAGUGAAGAAGGCCUUCGGGUUGUAAAGCUCUUUUGGUCGGAAAGAAAAGGCUACGGAUAACACCCGUGGUCCUUGACGGUACCGGCAGAAUAAGCACCGGCUAACUACGUGCCAGCAGCCGCGGUAAUACGUAGGGUGCGAGCGUUAAUCGGAAUUACUGGGCGUAAAGCGUGCGUAGGCGGUCCCGCAAGUCCGCUGUGAAAGCCCCGGGCUUAACCUGGGAAUGGCAGUGGAAACUAUGGGACUUGAAUCUGGCAGAGGGGGGUGGAAUGCCACGUGUAGCAGUGAAAUGCGUAGAGAUGUGGCGGAACACCAAUGGCGAAGGCAGCCCCCUGGGCUGAGAUUGACGCUCAGGCACGAAAGCGUGGGGAGC
rnacentral:rRNA from 1 species